UUGCACCUGGUGGCGAGUGGCGAACGGGUGAGUAAUACAUCGGAACGUACCUUAUCGUGGGGGAUAACGCAGCGAAAGCUGUGCUAAUACCGCAUACGCCCUGAGGGGGAAAGCGGGGGACCGAAAGACCUCGCGCGAUUAGAGCGGCCGAUGCCUGAUCAGCUUGUUGGUGGGGUAAAAGCCCACCAAGGCGACGAUCAGUAGCUGGUCUGAGAGGACGAUCAGCCACACUGGGACUGAGACACGGCCCAGACUCCUACGGGAGGCAGCAGUGGGGAAUUUUGGACAAUGGGGGAAACCCUGAUCCAGCAAUGCCGCGUGAGUGAAGAAGGCCUUCGGGUUGUAAAGCUCUUUUGUCAGGGAAGAAACACCGGCUCUAACACAGUCCGGGAAUGACGGUACCUGAAGAAUAAGCACCGGCUAACUACGUGCCAGCAGCCGCGGUAAUACGUAGGGUGCGAGCGUUAAUCGGAAUUACUGGGCGUAAAGCGUGCGCAGGCGGUUAUACAAGACAGGCGUGAAAUCCCCGGGCUUAACCUGGGAAUGGCGCCUGUGACUGUAUAGCUAGAGUGUGUCAGAGGGGGGUAGAAUUCCACGUGUAGCAGUGAAAUGCGUAGAUAUGUGGAGGAAUACCAAUGGCGAAGGCAGCCCCCUGGGAUAACACUGACGCUCAUGCACGAAAGCGUGGGGAGCAAACAGG
rnacentral:rRNA from 1 species